rnacentral:tRNA from 1 species
GCCCAGGUGGUGAAAUUGGUAUACACAAGGGACUUAAAAUCCCUCGGCUUCAUUGCUAUGCGGGUUCAAAUCCCGCCCUGGGCACCA